GACGAACGCUGGCGGCGUGCUUAACACAUGCAAGUCGAACGGAAAGGCCCUGCUUUUGUGGGGUGCUCGAGUGGCGAACGGGUGAGUAACACGUGAGUAACCUGCCCUUGACUUUGGGAUAACUUCAGGAAACUGGGGCUAAUACCGGAUAGGAGCUCCUGCUGCAUGGUGGGGGUUGGAAAGUUUCGGCGGUUGGGGAUGGACUCGCGGCUUAUCAGCUUGUUGGUGGGGUAGUGGCUUACCAAGGCUUUGACGGGUAGCCGGCCUGAGAGGGUGACCGGCCACAUUGGGACUGAGAUACGGGCCAGACUCCUACGGGAGGCAGCAGUGGGGAAUAAUGCACAAUGGGCGGAAGCCUGAUGCAGCAACGCCGCGUGCGGGAUGACGGCCUUCGGGUUGUAAACCGCUUUCGCCUGUGACGAAGCGUGAGUGGCGGUAAUGGGUAAAGAAGCACCGGCUAACUACGUG
rnacentral:rRNA from 1 species